rnacentral:lncRNA from 1 species
CGCAGUCAGCCGCCUGGGCGCCGAAAGCUGCUUCCUACUCCCAGUGCCGAGCGGGCCCCAGCUACUGAGCAUGCCCAGCGCAACGACGGGAGCCAGAGGAUAGCAGAGGACUUGAAGCUGCGGUUAGGCACUGAUUUCCCUUCCUAGGGGCCUAGCGUGAAAUGGAAAGGAACUAGUCAAGAGAAAGGAGGUGGUAAACUACCCAAAAACAGCACAGAAGAGGAAAUACAUGCUCCCAGACAGGGUGGACAAGGAGCCCUAAGCUCUCAACUGUGCAUGGAAUUUCCAACGCCAACAUAAAUCAAUGGAUCUAAGGGAAAGUGGUUAUAUUUAAAUCCAAAU